rnacentral:misc_RNA from 1 species
GAUGAAGAACGUAGCGAAAUGCGAUAAGUAAUGUGAAUUGCAGAAUUCAGUGAAUCAUCGAAUCUUUGAACGCACAUUGCGCCCCCUGGUAUUCCGGGGGGCAUGCCUGUUCGAGCGUCAUUUCACCACUCAAGCCUCGCUUGGUAUUGGGCAACGCGGUCCGCCGCGUGCCUCAAAUCGACCGGCUGGGUCUUCUGUCCCCUAAGCGUUGUGGAAACUAUUCGCUAAAGGGUGUUCGGGAGGCUACGCCGUAAAACAACCCCAUUUCUAAGGUUGACCUCGGAUCAGGUAGGGAUACCCGCUGAACUUAAGCAUACCAAUAAGCGGAGA